rnacentral:lncRNA from 1 species
CGGAAGUCGCGCCCGUUCCCCCAAGCGCCGGCGUGGAGGAUGGUGGCGGAGGAACGGGUAAGGGAAAUUACGCCGGCACUAGACACGGGAGGGGAACAGCCAAGGCUGCUUCCGGUGGGCGAACGGGGCCUAGUGCGCAUGCGCCCAUUGCGCCCGCUUCUUCUUAGGGCACCACCCACAGGCUCCAGGCUUCCGGUUAGGACGCACCCUAGACUCGGGUCUCAAGCCAAAGCCUCGCUUCCUAGGCUGGACCACGCCCAUCUCUGAACGUCCCGUUAUAGGCCGGUCGGAUUCCUUUUUCUGCACCUCCGAUUAGUUUGUUCUAUUCUUUCUUCGCUCCAAAUCUCUACUUUUGGAACUCCAGCCUCUCAGACGGGUCACACCUACAAGCCACGCCCCCUUCUAAAUCCUGCCCCUUACACAAAAAAGCUUUGUACAGCCUGUUGCAUAUAAGGGACAUCGGUUUUCUUUUGUGUUGUUGUUGUUUUAAACCUUUUGAUUUAUUUCUUCUUUUGAGACAGAGCCUCCUCACACUGUGGUCAGGGUGGCCUUGAACUCCUUUUUUUUUUUUUUUUUUUUUUUUUUUGGUUUUUCGAGACAGGGUUUCUCUGUAUAGCCCUGGCUGUCCUGGAACUCACUUUGUAGACCAGACUGGUCUCGAACUCAGAAAUCCGCCUGCCAUUGGAUACCAAGUGCUGGGAUUAAAGGCGUGCGCCACCACGCCGGGCUUCAGGGUGGCCUUGAACUCUUGUAUAGGCUAUAAUGGCUUCAAACUUGCAGCAAUACUACCAGAGCCUUCAGGAAUUCUGGGAUUAUAGUGAUGACUCUUUAAUGACUUGUAUGUAGUCCUGCCUCGCACCUUGAAAGCAUUCCUUUAAAGUUAGUUGUUAGCAACCAUUGGCAUCAAUUAGCUCAAUGCUCUUUAACUCUUAACCCAGACUUACUGAAUAUAAAGCGUUGGGAUGGAUCUUAGGAAUCCAUUUGAAUUGAAACACUUCUGAUGCACUCUUAGAUGAGAACCACAGCUUUGGCACACUUUACACUUAGCCACUCAGAGCUCUAUAAAUCUUUCUUAAUUCAGCCCCAUUACACUACAGACAGCUAAGCCUAAUUCUAUGCAUCCAAGCUCUCCCUUGUUGUUUUUCUUCCCUCUCCAUGGCCUGAAUGGCAGUCACGUCUAACAGUUAAGCCUUGGCCUCUUUUUUUUCUUUUUGUUUUGUUUUUGUUUGUUUGUUUGUUUUUUCGAGACAGGGUUUCUCUGUGUAGCCCUGGCUGUCCUGGAACUCACUCUGUAGAUCAGGCUGGCCUGGAACUCAAAAAUCCGCCUAUCUCUGCCUCCCAAGUGCUGGGAUUGAAGGCUCAGCUUCGCAAGCCUCUAUUAAAAGAUCUCUUAACAACAACAA